rnacentral:tRNA from 1 species
GCUCAGCUGGCAGAGCAACGGACUCUUAAUCCGUGGGUCCAGGGUUCGAUCCCCUGACCA